UACAGUUGAGUUUGAGCCUGGCUCAGGGAGUCGUAACAAGGUAACCAGGUGAGUUUGGGCACGGCUAAGUAGUUGGUGCGUGGCCAGCCUGUAAGACUGGGAUAACUCCGGGAAACCGGGGCUAAUACCGGAUGCUUGAUUGAACCGCAUGGUUCAAUCAUAAAAGGUGGCUUUCAGCUACCACUUGCAGAUGGACCCGCGGCGCAUUAGCUAGUUGGUGAGGUAACGGCUCACCAAGGCGACGAUGCGUAGCCGACCUGAGAGGGUGAUCGGCCACACUGGGACUGAGACACGGCCCAGACUCCUACGGGAGGCAGCAGUAGGGAAUCUUCCGCAAUGGACGAAAGUCUGACGGAGCAACGCCGCGUGAGUGAUGAAGGUUUUCGGAUCGUAAAACUCUGUUGUUAGGGAAGAACAAGUACCGUUCGAAUAGGGCGGUACCUUGACGGUACCUAACCAGAAAGCCACGGCUAACUACGUGCCAGCAGCCGCGGUAAUACGUAGGUGGCAAGCGUUGUCCGGAAUUAUUGGGCGUAAAGCGCGCGCAGGCGGUUUCUUAAGUCUGAUGUGAAAGCCCCCGGCUCAACCGGGGAGGGUCAUUGGAAACUGGGGAACUUGAGUGCAAAAGAGGAGAGUGGAAUUCCACGUGUAGCGGUGAAAUGCGUAGAGAUGUGGAGGAACACCAGUGGCGAAGGCGACUCUCUGGUCUGUAACUGACGCUGAGGCGCGAAAGCGUGGGGAGCGAACAGGAUUAGAUACCCUGGUAGUCCACGCCGUAAACGAUGAGUGCUAAGUGUUAGAGGGUUUCCGCCCUUUAGUGCUGCAGCAAACGCAUUAAGCACUCCGCCUGGGGAGUACGGUCGCAAGACUGAAACUCAAAGGAAUUGACGGGGGCCCGCACAAGCUGUGGAGCAUGUGGUUUAAUUCGAAGCAACGCGAAGAACCUUACCAGGUCUUGACAUCCUCUGACACCCUAGAGAUAGAGCUUCACCUUCGGGGGCAGAGUGACAGCGUGCUGCAUGGUUGUCGUCAGCUCGUGUCGAUGAGAUGUUGGGAUAAGUACCCGCAACGAGGCGCAAUCCCAUGAUCUAGGUGGCAGCAUUCAGUUUGGGCACUUCUAAGAUGACUGCCGGGUGAAA
rnacentral:rRNA from 1 species